rnacentral:tRNA from 1 species
GGGGCUGUAGCUCAGCUUGGGAGAGCGCCUGACUGGCAGUCAGGAGGUCGUGGGUUCGAAUCCCAUCAGCUCCACCA